rnacentral:rRNA from 1 species
UACGGAGGAUCCGAGCGUUAUCCGGAUUUAUUGGGUUUAAAGGGUGCGUAGGCGGCCUUGUAAGUCAGGGGUGAAAGACGGUGGCUCAACCAUCGCAGUGCCCUUGAUACUGCAGGGCUUGAAUACACUAGAGGCAGGCGGAAUGUGGCAAGUAGCGGUGAAAUGCAUAGAUAUGCCACAGAACACCGAUUGCGAAGGCAGCUUGCUAUGGUUGUAUUGACGCUGAGGCACGAAAGCGUGGGGAUCAAACAGG